rnacentral:rRNA from 1 species
UACGGAGGGCGCAAGCGUUAUCCGGAUUCACUGGGGUUAAAGGGUGCGUAGGAGGACAGGUAAGUCAGUGGUGAAAUCUCCGAGCUUAACUUGGAAACUGCCGUUGAUACUAUCUGCCUUGAAUAUUGUGGAGGUGAGCGGAAUAUGUCAUGUAGCGGUGAAAUGCUUAGAUAUGACAUAGAACACCAAUUGCGAAGGCAGCUCGCUACACAUAUAUUGACUCUGAGGCACGAAAGCGUGGGGAUCAAACAGG